CAUUUUUUUAUUAUAAAAUGCAAAUCUUUCAGACUUCAACAGUUUCAUGCUAAAAAAUAUGGUCCUGCAAGAUUUCAAAGGCACCUACAAUUCCUCUGACUGCCAUGGAUCAGACUCGUUUCCUUUCCCUCAAUAGGUAGAGUCAACAGCACAGUGUCAACUAGUAGUCAUUCACCCCUCAAGAUUAAGGAAUAGAAGUCUCCAAGGGAAGAAAUAAGCUAGAGAGGCACAAAGGGGCAAGAGGCAGACAGCUAAUCGCUAAAGACAAACAGCUGUUCUACAACAGGACAUCAUGUGACUAAGCAAACAGUACAGACACAAAACCCCACCAAACCAGGUUUUAUGGGAAGAUGCUAUUAAAAAGUGGUCUCAUGAAACUAGAAGAAACGAUGGUGGAGUGGAGCCAUGCAAGAUUGGCAAAGAAACUCAGUGCCUCUGGUAUGGGAGUGGUAUGGGAGUUUGACCUUCAGGACAAGGGAACACUAUGUUGCUGAGUAGGACAGGUCCUCAGAGUGAGAUAGCAGGGUCACAGAAUGGAGCUGCUCACCCUGCUGCAAGGGAGGAGAGCAUGGGGACCAUGAUGCUGGCUGCAGGUACAAUAGCCAAACCUAGUGGGGCAUCCAGCAUUGAUGGCAGAGAGGUGUGCAGUGGCCUGGAGUUCUUUCUGAUCCUUCUCUGGACACCCUGCCUAGCUAUAAAAUCAUUCUGACCCUGGACAAACAACAGGAUAUCCAAGGAGAGUCUCAGUGAUAGUUCAGUAGUUACGGUGUUUCAGAAAUCAGAAACCUUGAAGUAGACCAAUGCCUUUUUUUACAAUAAGUAUUUUCAUGCAAAUCUAUUUGGGAAAAAUAUAUAAUAUGUGACACACUGCAGUUUGCAAUGCCACUUCAAUGAACAAAUUUGUGAUGGAGAGGUGGGAAUAAUGGCAGAACAGAACAGCAUGCAUGCAGCAGAAAGAGGUAGAACUAAAGACAGCAGUGACAGAUGCAGAAGUGGGACUCUGGUGGACAGGGAAGCAUGUUGUUGGUAAAUAGGGCUAGCAGAGUGAGAAAGGUUCAUUUUCUGAAUUGGGACUCCUCAAAAGACCUUUAUGGUAUGUGCUGUUGCCAGAGGCCAUGUUGGUGUAUAACGCUUUUACUGGCAGAGGCCAUGUGGAUGUACUUGGUCUGUUUUGGCACCCCAGGCCAUAUUGAUGACUGUGGUCCUUCCUGCUGCUAGAGACCAUGUUGAGCAUUGUUGAACCAAUUUAAACUUAUCCCCAUCUAGCUUACAAAUCAAUGAGACUCAGACUAUGGUUAUUUUAUUUGGCUUUGACAAUUACUUGGGGAUAACGCCUAAACUACUUUUGUAACUUUUGACCUAGCUACUUCCCCAAACACUCAGUUUCUCCUGGCCAUGUGCUCAUGGUUCAUCUCCUUUCAUAAGGGCUUUAUCCUCACUGCAUCCUUCACCUCUCUCUUCCCUUCUGUAACUCCCAUCCAGGUAACUCAAAACCUGUCUACCUCUAGUCCCCCAAGUACUUGGCUGUAGCCAUUUUAUUAAUCUAUAGUUUUACAUUUAAAAAACAAGUUUUCCACGACAAAAGCUGGUAAACAUGAAGUCACUUGUAGGCCUAGAUUAUAUAUAUAGAUAUAUAAUUAUAUAGAUCUUCAGGUACAGAAUUGAGCAUUACAAUACAUAGCAACAGACCAAACCUCAACAUUUCCCCCUUUUUUGACUAAAUAAAAAGGCUAUUUCUCUUAUAAUAUUAAACAGCAUACAGUAGGAACAAUUAUAAGAAGACAGUAGUCCCAGUCCCUAAAGAUGAGGUGGAUGGUUUUGGUCAUUUUAUGAGUUAUAGAUAUUUUGUCUUUUUCGGGAUGAUUAUAAAUAAUUAUGGCCUUGGUCAGGGAGGAAAUGAAAGAGGGAACUUAGACUCAGGAAUUUCUCUUUCCUUUACUUUUCUCUACCCUUUUCUUUCUUUGAUAAAGAGAAGAGGGUUGAGAAGAAAAAAAGGGGAAUAUAGAAUUAUAUAGAAAUAAUAGAAUAAAAGAGUAGAUUAUUGAAUCUACUCUUCAACUUAGAGCUAUUGUUAUUCUCAAAAAAAGUUUAUUUUGGUUUACAUGGGUAUGAAUUAUCAUACAUUGAAACAGGUUUAGGGUUUUCAUUGAUAUACAUCUUUGUAUAUUGAUAAAAAAAUUAAGGUUAAUUUUGUUGCAACAUACUAUAAUAUUAUGUUUCAAUUCUUAGAUAGGCAUUGUGCCUGAACAACUCAUUUAAAAAUACAAGGUUUAGUCCCAGCCCUUUUAAUAGCUGCUGUUACAAACUGUUGAGGAUAAUUAACUAAUGCAAGUUAAUAGUCAAUCAAUCAAACUCAUCAUCUUAUUAUCACAGAAAUAUACAUCCUGGGUUGAACAGACAAUAAAUAGCUAGACACAUCAAUGUAAGCUUGCUUAGAUAAGAGACUCACAGAAUCUGGCAUUUAAGCAUGUUUUUAUUAAUUUAAAAUCUUUUUUAACAUUGAGGCAAAUCAGCUCCUGGCAGCACCUCAUUCAAUUUGGAAGAAGAUGAGCAUUGAAAGACCUCCGUUUGGAGAUGGCUUCAUUUGUGACAAGCUAAUCACUGGGCAAAGAAAAUGUCCUAACUUCAUCUGCAGACAGAAUGUUGUCCAUAAAGAGCAAAUGUUCACUGGGAAGUCAACUGCUGAAUUCUGCCAAGAGAGGUUAAACAAGUCAUUCAUAAUUUUUACUUCACAAAAGGUCUUUCAGAUAUUCUAGGUCAGAAGGCUGAAGAUGAUGCCCCAAUAUUUUAGAGAAUAUUGGGGAAUCUCCUAGCAGUCAGCUGUCUCUGUCAUUUCUAUAAUUCUUGAAAGCUGCAACCCUGAACUUCCUAAAACCUCAGGUAAUAUUUAUUACUUCUUAGGUCUCUGAUGAGGUUGAAGAGUAGAUAGUCAUAGUUUGUUUUGUUUGUUUGUUUGUUUUCUGUUUGUUGAUAGUCAUUGUCAUACUAUAAGCUUACAAUGUCUAGGAUUUAAGAUAAUGCCCUAGGUCUAAGAAGAUGUUUUUAAAUAAAGAAAACAUCCAAUUUAAAAAAGAGGUACUUUGACAAGUAGGAUGGUAGGAAAAGACAUGAGAAUGUAAUGAGGAAACAAUGAUCAAAGUACAUGAUAUAUAUGCAGGAGAACGUCAUAAUGAAACCCAGUAUUUUAUACAAUGAAUAUAUGCUACUCCAAAAAAGAAAAAAAAAAAACCCCCACAUUUCUACUAAGAACGUGGAAAACCACCCAGUUGCCUCAACUCUACAGGAUUGAAGUGCUUAUUCCUCCAGCACUUGACAGUUUUGACAGUCACUGGGUUUAUACUUAACACAGACUACUUUUGCCUGGGAAGAAUUGGCUUAUCCACAGGUCUAAGACACUUCAUCAAGAGACAGGAUUCAUUCAAGGGUGAAGCACUAUAGAAUUAUAAAAAUUCAGUCCCAUUUUCCUAAUUUGGGACAACUCUGUAAAAUCAGCCCUGACUUGAAACUUGCUUCUGAAAUCAACUAAUCCAUGGGUAUUUUAUUCCCUAUUCUAAGGAGGAAUGAACUAUCCAUGCUUUGGUCUUCCUUCUUCUUGAUUUUCGUGUUUUGCAAAUUGUAUCUUGGAUAUUCUAAGUUUCUGGGCUAAUAUCCACUUACCAGUGAGUACAUAUCAAGUGACUUCUUUUGUGAUUGGGUUACCUCACUCAGGAUGAUAUCCUCCAGAUGCAUCCAUUUGCCUAAGAAUUUCAUGAAUUCAUUGUUUUUAAUUGCUGUGUAGUAUUCCAUUGUAUAAAUGUACCACAUUUCCUGUAUCCAUUCCUCUGUUGAGGGACAUCUGGACGAAAGGAUGGACCAUCCAGAGACUGCCCCACCCGGGGAUCCAUCCCAUAAUCAGCCUCCAAAUGCAGACACUAUUGCAUAUGCCAGCAAGAUUUUGCUGAAAGGACCCUGAUAUAGCUGUCUCUGCUUGUUUACCUGAAUGAAGACAAUAUAAACAGAACUAUGGGGAACCCAUGGAGAUCAUGUAAAAUGGCUCAAAAUGUGGAUGCUUGCAGCCAACCAUUGGACUCAGCACAAGGUCCCUAAUGGAGGGCUAGACAAAGGACCCAAGGAGCUGAAGAGGUUUGCAGCCCCAUAAAAGGAACAACAAUAUGAAUUAACCAAGACUCCAAGAACUCCCAGGGACUAAACCACCAACCAAAGAGUACACACGGAGGGACUCAUGGCUCCAGCUGCAUAUGUAGCAGAGGAUGGCCUUGUUGGACAUCAGUGAGAGGAAAGGCCCUUGGUCCUGACAAGGCUAGAUGCCCCAGUGUGGGGGAAUACUAAGGCAGUGAGGUGGGAGUGGGUGGGUUGGUGAGCAGGGGGAGGGGGGAUGGGAUAGGGGGUAUUCAGAGGGGAAACUAGGAAAGGGGAUAACAUUUGAAAUGUAAAUAAAGAAAAUAUCUAAUUAAAAAAUGGACU